ensembl:lncRNA
CACUAUUCACAGUGCUAUGCAUCUGAAAUUUUGCAUACAUUAGAAGUUCCUCAGAAGGAAUUCUUUUUCCAUAAGGAAAAGGAAAACCAUAUAUACCAUGGAUGGCAGCAGAAACCAACACGAAAUAAUUACUCCUAUGACAGAAUGAGGAGCAUACAGAACGACCUGCAGGAUCUGGACAUACAUUGCAAGGAGAGGAGCUGCACAGCUCCAACUGGUGCACUGAGUUGUCAGAGCACUGCUGCUGGUACUUGGGGCUUCUAAAGCAGCUAGGAUGUGCGGCCCAGUGAACACACUCAAACCAGAAGAUGCAUUACCAAGCCAGGAGUUCUCAGCUGUUUCUAACAACUCCUAAACCCCAAGGUACAAUCCCAAGGAGCAGAUCCAGAGAGGCAGCAGGGUCAGGCUUGGCAAAGCCAACACUGGGCAGGAGGCGCAAGCUCAUGAGAGCUGCUGCGCUGAGCCAGGCAACGGGGACGUGGCUCUGCUGCUCCCCUCUCCUUGGAGACCUCCAGAACUGGGGAUGGCAAACAGUGGCUGACAGCAGUGAGCACAGUGCCGUGAGUGUUCCCUGUCUGACCAUCAUGAGAACUGCC